rnacentral:rRNA from 1 species
AUUGAACGCUGGCGGCAGGCUUAACACAUGCAAGUCGAACGAGUGGCGGACGGGUGAGUAAUGUCUGGGAAACUGCCCGAUGGAGGGGGAUAACUACUGGAAACGGUAGCUAAUACCGCAUACCAUCGGAGGUGCCCAGAUGGGAUUAGCUAGUAGGUGGGGUAACGCCUCACCUAGGCGACGAUCCCUAGCUGGUCUGAGAGGAUGACCAGCCACGCUGGAACUGAGACACGGUCCAGACUCCUACGGGAGGCAGCAGUUGGGAAUAUUGCACAAUGGGCGCAAGCCUGAGACAUCCAUGCCGCGAGUAUGAAGAAGGCCUUCGGGUUGUAAAGUACUUUCGGCGAGGAGGCGUUACUCGCAGAAGAAGCUCCGGCUAACUCCGUGCCAGCAGCCGCGGUAAUUC